CGAACGCUGGCGGCAUGCUUAACACAUGCAAGUCGCACGGGCAGUAGCAAUACUGUCAGUGGCGGACGGGUGAGUAACGCGUAGGAAUCUAUCCUUGGAAUGGGGGACAACCGUGGGAAACUACGGCUAAUACCGCAUGAUGCCUGAGGGCCAAAGACGAAAGUCGUUUGAGGAGGAGCCUGCGUCUGAUUUAGGUAGUUGGUGGGGUAAAGGCCUACCCAAGCCUACGAUCAGUAGCUGGUCUGAGAGGAUGAUCAGCCACAUUGGGACUGAGACACGGCCCAAACUCCUACGGGAGGCAGCAGUGGGGAAUAUUGGACAAUGGGCGCAAGCCUGAUCCAGCAAUGCCGCGUGGGUGAAGAAGGUCUUCGGAUUGUAAAGCCCUUUUGGCGGGGACGAUGAUGACGGUACCCGCAGAAUAAGCUCCGGCUAACUUCGUG
rnacentral:rRNA from 1 species